UAACAAUCUAGAGCACCACAGAGUGUUUCCAGGUCGGCACAAAAGCGAACGGGACAGGGCGCCCUGGGCGGCGGCAGCUUGGCCGGCCCGCUGCCUAGCGCGCCCCCGAGGGGCGGUAAUGGAACGUACCUUUGGCUGAAGAAAGAGUGCUCCCGGCCAGCGCGGGGUCGCCUAGGGGGUUCCGCGCUGCCUAAUGCAAAGGAUGGAAAAGUUACAGAAGCAGAGAUGGGUUUCAGCAGCCCAGGCUGGUCUCGAACUCCUGGACUCAAGUGAUUGGCCCUCCUCGGCCUCCCAAAGUCCUGGGAUUACAAGCGUGAGCCACCAUGCUCAGUUGGCGGGGGAUUAUCUGUGAUCCAAUGAAGUUGGACUAGAGAUGUGAAGCCUUAGAAAACGGUGGAUUGAAAAAAGAAUUUUAGUCUCCUCCAGAGAUUAUAUUUUGUGUGUUCAUUGCUCUCAAAAACAUGAAAAUAAAGAGUAUUUUAUAUUGUG
ensembl:lncRNA IDH1-AS1 IDH1 antisense RNA 1